rnacentral:rRNA from 1 species
AACGAACGCUGGCGGCAUGCCUAACACAUGCAAGUCGAACGAGACCUUCGGGUCUAGUGGCGCACGGGUGCGUAACGCGUGGGAACCUGCCCUUAGGUUCGGAAUAACUCCCCGAAAGGGGUGCUAAUACCGGAUAAUGUCUUCGGACCAAGGAUUUAUCGCCUUUGGAUGGGCCCGCGUUGGAUUAGCUAGUUGGUAGGGUAAAGGCCUACCAAGGCGACGAUCCAUAGCUGGUCUGAGAGGAUGAUCAGCCACACUGGGACUGAGACACGGCCCAGACUCCUACGGGAGGCAGCAGUGGGGAAUAUUGGACAAUGGGCGAAAGCCUGAUCCAGCAAUGCCGCGUGAGUGAUGAAGGCCUUAGGGUUGUAAAGCUCUUUUACCCGGGAUGAUAAUGACAGUACCGGGAGAAUAAGCUCCGGCUAACUCCGUG